AGAGUUUGAUCCUGGCUCAGAACGAACGCUGGCGGCAGGCUUAACACAUGCAAGUCGAACGCCCCGCAAGGGGAGUGGCAGACGGGUGAGUAACGCGUGGGAAUCUACCCAGUUCUCUGGAAUAACUGAGGGAAACUUCAGCUAAUACCGGAUACGCCCUAUGGGGGAAAGAUUUAUCGGGAUUGGAUGAGCCCGCGUCUGAUUAGCUAGUUGGUGGGGUAAUGGCCUACCAAGGCGACGAUCGGUAGCUGGUCUGAGAGGAUGAUCAGCCACACUGGGACUGAGACACGGCCCAGACUCCUACGGGAGGCAGCAGUGGGGAAUAUUGGACAAUGGGCGCAAGCCUGAUCCAGCCAUGCCGCGUGAGUGAUGAAGGCCCUAGGGUUGUAAAGCUCUUUCACCCACGACGAUAAUGACGGUAGUGGGAGAAGAAGCCCCGGCUAACUUCGUGCCAGCAGCCGCGGUAAUACGAAGGGGGCUAGCGUUGCUCGGAAUCACUGGGCGUAAAGGGCGCGUAGGCGGCCGAUCAAGUCAGGGGUGAAAGCCUGUGGCUCAACCACAGAAUUGCCUUUGAUACUGUUUGGCUCGAGACCGGAAGAGGUUGGUGGAACUGCGAGUGUAGAGGUGAAAUUCGUAGAUAUUCGCAAGAACACCAGUGGCGAAGGCGGCCNCUGGUCCGGUUCUGACGCUGAGGCGCGAAAGCGUGGGGAGCAAACAGGAUUAGAUACCCUAGUAGUCC
rnacentral:rRNA from 1 species